rnacentral:lncRNA from 1 species
AGGUAGAUCCUUACAAACAUUAGAAUGAAGUUAACGGCCAGUGUUCUCUCCCCACCCUUCUCUCCGUCUCGAAACUAAGAAAAGAACAAGCAGACUCUCUCCAUGAUUUGUAAAUUUCAAUACAAAGGCUAAAAAAGGGUCCUUUUAUAAUUUACAAUUAUAUAGUGCACUUGGAAGUCCUGAUUAUCUGAUUAUAAAUGGAAGGCGAUAUUUUUGUACUUUUCAAACAAAACAUGUUUUGUGAAAAAUUAAAAUAUGAAGUCACUUCUUAUCUUCAUUUUAAUUAUCAGUAAAACAUAAAGAUGCAAUUCAGACCACCUAAAGUAAAGCCCUACUUCAAAAUAACAAUUUCCUACGCAUGUCACUCAGACCCAUAAAGUUUCAAAUUCAGUGGAAGUUCAGCACACUUGGGAGCUAUAAUCAACAGUUAACACCAAGCAAAUGUACUGUUAAAUCUUAUGCACUUAACAAAAACAGAUAUACUAAAGUAUUUCUAGUUCUUUCAGGAAAACAAAGUUUCAUUGUCAGCUAAAAAAGGGCAUGGCGCAAUUAAGAAACAAGAAAUAAAUUUGAAUGGUGAUAUUUUUUCCUAAAAGGGUAUAUCGAAAAAGCUAAUUGAACAAAAACUUGGAUCUUUACCCAACAAAAAACUCUGUUUUUGAAUUUCGUAAAGCAUCUAAUGGAUUUGAGUAUGUCCCUACAUAUGUUUGGGUUUACAAAAGAAAGCAAAAGAAGGUUAUUAAAACUAUGAUCCCCCUCUGAUCCCAAGGAAAUGAAAAAAGAGCAGGAAAUUCAAAAGCAACUUUCUUGAGGUUGUUGUUCCUUUGGUGAUUGGUGGAUUAACCAAUAAAAAAUAAUGAAUAGAAUCAAAACGUUUAGCUUCACUUAUUGGCCUGCUACAAAUGAAGGCGGUGUUUGUUCAUAUAAUUAAUGUUUCACAAAUUAAUAAUAUCUACAGACUACCAUUAUAAACUUUCAAGAAUAACUUGGUUUCUGCUAUCAAAGUUAAUUUCUUUCAAUUCGUGUAGUUGUUCUACUACCUACAUUUUUCUGUGUUUACACAACCUCCAAAGUUUUAAUCUGAACCCAUGGAGACAACCUACGCCCCAAACUAAAAAAUAAAAAUAAAAAUCUCUUGCCAUAAUGUCAUUACAAGCAUAGAGUAAACCUCAUUAUCAAUGUUCAUUGCACUAUUCGUUUGGUAAUUUACACCUCAUGUCUACAACAUGUUGAAGACUACCGCAAGACAAUCACAACAGAAUAUUAAUUCGAUUUCAGCAGCACAUAAGUGAAUUGAGGUACAUUUGGAAUUAUCAGCAUAAAUUUUCGAGCAAGAGUACUUUGGGAAAAUCUAACAAACAUAAUUACAGAAUCACUAAUACAAAAAACAAGCCAAAAUUUGAAGCAUCAAACCCUAGUCCUGAUUGGUCGUAAAAAACACAAAGAUAUGCAGACAUACUCACACGAGAAGAGGAAAAAAAACAUGGAGAGAGGAUCUGGUGAGUACCCGAAAUAGUUGUACAAAAGCCAAAAGAGAAAGAGUGGAAAUUAGAACUGUAGACAUCCGAUCUACGGAUUUUCUUGAGUUUUGGGGCAGAGGUGGGUGCUUGGGAGAAAAACUGGGAGCAGCAGUGAAAGGAGGGAAAAAAGGAAAACAUAGCCUCCAUUUGGCAUCAGCUGCCAUUCUUAUUCUCUCU